GGUUUUCUCAAUCCCUCUUGGAGCAAAACUGACCACCAGUUAUAGGUGGUUGCUGUAGCUCUUAGCAUAUGUUCUACUUGAAUUUAUGAAUACAACUAAAAUUUCAUUUUUGACAAUGCUGCUGGACUAUAUAUUUUAUUUGAAGCAUUGUUAUCUGGGUUUCGCUUAAAGGCUUGCACGAGUUAAGCUUUAUAUGCAAAUUCUGGAUUUUGUUGAGCUCUUUUUGCUUUACGAAGGACCUAAUGGUUUGGCCUAUACGUGAUGGGGAUGAGGAGAAAUGGGUGGCGGAGUACUUUGGGGUUGAUUAGAGUGUAUAGAUGAUUGUGAAUUCAAGUUUUUCAUAUCAACUAUAAUACCUUCAUGAUAGUCAGGUUAGGAUUCCCGGUUGCUGCUACAAUUGCAGCCUAUACGGUCAAGCAGCUGAACCUUGAAGCAUCAGAGUCCUCUGCUUCUUUAACCAAGCCUUCAGUCAUUAUGCUUCAGAGUGAAAUGGUUACCACUGUGAGAGAGGAGGUUCUCAAGAGAAGGCUGAACAGCUGGUGUUUUAGUAGGUAGGAUCAGAACGUGGCCAAGGAAAGCCACCUUCAACUGGGAAUGAGGAGUUUGACAAUGCCUCUAUUGAUGGUUCAACUAGUAAACUCAGUAAGACACCUAACUUAAUCCAAAAGCUGAAGAAAUGGGGCAAAGGCAAGGAUGAUUCAACUCUUUCAUCACCAACUAGAUCUCUCUCUGGAGGCUCUCCAAGAAGAAUUAGCAUGAGCCAUUGGCCAAGGGGUUCUCUGGAAUCUCUGAUAAUGAGAAAUGCAGGUGAUGCUGUGGCCAUCACCACAUUUGGGAAAGUGGAGCACAAAUCAAUGGACUCACCUGAAACUCCAACCCUCCCACAAAUUAGUACAGGGGUCCUUCAAGUGACUCACUAAAUGAUGUUGCAGAUUCAUUCAAAUGGAUGUCAAAAUCAGUUGGAGUUCUAGCAGAAAAAAUAUCCUGAAUCUAAAGACCGGCACAAGUUGGCCUUAUAAGAGAGAGAAAUGCAUGUUAAGGAGAGAGCAGAGCAAGCAAGAGCACAGAGGUUUCGUGACAAUUCAAACUUUGAGUCUAAACACACACUGUUGACACCAAAACUUGCUCAUAUAAAGGAGAAGCUAGUUGUUUCUGGUGGUUCAAAUGAUGAAUCUGACAAUGACAAAGGCUGCCAAUUCUCCAACGAUAAGCAAGAUGAAACUUGAGCAUAUUGAGAGGCGGCCCUCCAGGGUGCUUAGACCACCUCCAAAACCAACUGGUGGUGCUACUGUGGUUACUAAGUAAAACUGGGAUUAGACUAAAGCCUGACAGCACACUUUCCUUUUCUAAUAUUUUUCCCCCCAUUGUGCUCUGAUAAGUGAGUUACUUGUCUUGAAUGAAUUCUAACA